rnacentral:ncRNA from 1 species
ACAUGAGAGGGUCAAGGUAAAGAAAUUCAAUGAAGCAUGGGUAAAUGGUGGGAGUAACUAGGACUCUCUUAAGGUAUCCAAAUACCUCAUCAUCUAAUUAGUGAGGCACAUGAAU